rnacentral:lncRNA from 1 species
UCCAUUUAUUCAUAGAGACUCUGACUCGUCUGCUGAGGACCUUGAACCCCCAAGGUGGUGAGUCUGCCUCACCACCAAAGCCUUGUAGACUGGGAUUGGAGACCACACAUCAGCCUUGUAAGGUGGCAGAGAUCUGAAUGAUGCCCUGGUGUGAUCUGACUCCCUGAGUGAUUGUUUAUGCAUCUCCUGGAUUCUGUGUAAGUAGCUGCGAUGGUGAGGAUGGACCUGGUGUGAUGGUGGUGCUGGGAGAUCCACAAGCAAUGGAGCCAAGCAACCAUGGACUGAAACCACUGUAACCAUAAGCCAAAAUAAAUCAUUCUUUCUGUUGGUUGACCUUCUCAGGUAUUCUGUCACAGUGAAAGAGAGCUCAGUAAGAAAGUGCCACAUGUGUUUUCUAUGCUGAUCCCCAAACUCCAAACACUAUCUUCACCCACUUUCUCAUGUGCAUGUUUGUGAUCAUCACAACAAAUGUCACUUGACAAGGUCUGUGUCACUUUCAGAGGGACUACAGCUCUGGGGCUCAGCCUUCUGCCCCUUGUUGCAUUCAGUCAGACUGAGUAAGUUUUUCUCUGAGAAGUGUAAGGCUCAUGGAGAACCAGCAAAGAUCUUCCAAAAGGCUAUAAGAUUAACUGAACUUCCUGUCUUCAAUGGGAAGUAAAUUUAAAAGGUCAAACUGAAAAGUGUUAGCAUAAACCUGUCUGCAGCCCAAACUCUCGGUGUAUAUGAAAUUAAGCAAGUCAUCUUUUCCCUCCGGUGCUAAUUUGAAUUAUGCACUCUACAUUUAAGAUAGAUUAACUAGUCCCCAGGUGGUAGCUACAUUUUUGGAAGACAGGGAUGUAUUUAAUUUGAAUCUGCUUCUGAUUCAGUGCUUAGAGUAACAAUUGGUCAAGCAUCAGUUAAAAAAAUAACGUGUAACAAAGGAGUGCAAAAGAUUUCCAAUAAUAUCCAAUGAGAUAUAAUUGGCCAUGUUGGCAAUACCUUGAAUUGCAUCGAUUUCCCCAUCUCGCUGAAAACCCUGAUAACGCUCCUGUUUUCACAGUAUUUCACCUUUUAAAAAAAUAAUCUGUAUGGUGGAAAAAAAAA